AGAGUUUGAUCAUGGCUCAGGAUGAACGCUGGCGGCGUGCUUAACACAUGCAAGUCGAACGAACCUUCGGGUUAGUGGCGGACGGGUGAGUAACGCGUGAGAAUCUGCCCUCAGGAGGGGGACAACAGCUGGAAACGGCUGCUAAUACCCCAUAUGCCGCGAGGUGAAAUGAAUUUCGCCUGANGAUGAGCUCGCGUCUGAUUAGCUAGUUGGUGUAGGUAAUGGCUCACCAAGGCAUCGAUAAGUAGCUGGUCUGANAGGAUGAUCAGCCACACUGGGACUGANACACGGCCCANACUCCUACGGGAGGCAGCAGUGGGGAAUUUUCCGCAAUGGGCGAAAGCCUGACGGANCAACGCCGCGUGAGGGAUGAAGGCCUCUGGGCUGUAAACCUCUUUUGUCAAGGAAGAAGAUCUGACGGUACUUGAUGAAUAAGCCACGGCUAAUUCCGUGCCAGCAGCCGCGGUAAUACGGGAAUGGCAAGCGUUAUCCGGAAUUAUUGGGCGUAAAGCGUCCGCAGGCGGCCCUUCAAGUCUGCUGUUAAAAAGUGGAGCUUAACUCCAUCAUGGCAGUGGAAACUGUUGGGCUUGAGUGUGGUAGGGGCAGAGGGAAUUCCCGGUGUAGCGGUGAAAUGCGUAGAUAUCGGGAAGAACACCAGUGGCGAAGGCGCUCUGCUGGGCCAUCACUGACGCUCAUGGACGAAAGCCAGGGGAGCGAAAGGGAUUAGAUACCCCUGUAGUCCUGGCCGUAAACGAUGAACACUANGUGUCGGGGGAAUCGACCCCCUCGGUGUCGUANCC
rnacentral:rRNA from 1 species